GUGUUGUAGCUAACGCGUUAAGCACUCCGCCUGGGGACUACGGUCGCAAGACUAAAACUCAAAGGAAUUGACGGGGACCCGCACAAGCGGUGGAGCAUGUGGUUUAAUUCGAUGCAACGCGAAGAACCUUACCACUUCUUGACAUGGAGAUUAGAUCCUUCUUAACAGAAGGGCGCAGUUCGGCUGGAUCUCGCACAGGUGCUGCAUGGCUGUCGUCAGCUCGUGUCGUGAGAUGUUGGGUUAAGUCCCGCAACGAGCGUAACCCUCAUCCUUAGUUGCCAGCGGGUUAAGCCGGGCACUUUAAGGAGACUGCCAGUGGUAAACUGGAGGAAGGUGGGGAUGAUGUCAAGUCAGCACGGCCCUUAUGGGGUGGGCUACACACGUGCUACAAUGGUGACUACAAUAGGUUGCAAUGUCGUAAGGCUGAGCUAAUCCGUAAAAGUCAUCUCAGUUCGGAUUGUCCUCUGCAACUCGAGGGCAUGAAGUCGGAAUCGCUAGUAAUCGUGGAUCAGCAUGCCACGGUGAAUACGUUCUCGGGUCUUGUACACACUGCCCGUCACGCCAU
rnacentral:rRNA from 1 species